AGUGAACGCUGGCGGUAGGCCUAACACAUGCAAGUCGAACGGCAGCACAGUAAGAGCUUGCUCUUACGGGUGGCGAGUGGCGGACGGGUGAGGAAUACAUCGGAAUCUACUUUUUCGUGGGGGAUAACGUAGGGAAACUUACGCUAAUACCGCAUACGACCUACGGGUGAAAGCAGGGGAUCUUCGGACCUUGCGCGAUUGAAUGAGCCGAUGUCGGAUUAGCUAGUUGGCGGGGUAAAGGCCCACCAAGGCGACGAUCCGUAGCUGGUCUGAGAGGAUGAUUCGCCACACUGGAACUGAGACACGGUCCAGACUCCUACGGGAGGACGCAGUGGGGAAUAUUGGACAAUGGGCGCAAGCCUGAUCCAGCCAUACCGCGUGGGUGAAGAAGGCCUUCGGGUUGUAAAGCCAUUUUGUUGGGAAAGAAAAGCAGCAGGUUAAUCCCCCGCUGUUCUGACGGUACCCAAGGAAUAAGCACCGGCUAACUUCGCG
rnacentral:rRNA from 1 species